ensembl:lncRNA
AGAGAAAAUCUGUGAUUGCAGUGAGCUUCAUAGCAGCGUUCCUCUUCCUGCUGGUUGUGCGCCUUGUAAAUGAAGCGAAUUUCCCAUUGCUACUAAACUGCUUUGGACAACCUGGUACAAAAUGGAUACCAUUCUCCUAUACGUACAGACGGCCCCUUCGAACUCACUAUGGAUACAUAAAUGUGAGGACGCAAGAGGUAAGACCUCAGAGGGUUAUGUGGAGUUUGAGCACAUUUAUUGACACAUGUCUAAAGGCUGCUGUCCCUCCUACAUCAAAUCUUCUGAUUUACUGGCUUCACGUGGAGUUGAGGAAGCAAUUACCUGUUUUCCUAGUGGUUUGUGGCACAACAUACAUAUCUUUCCAUUCAGAAACUGUGAUCAGCAGUUACCAGCUGGAGAGCUGGCUGGCUUUAUUUCCUGGAGGUCAACUGUUGGGGACAGCUCUCUGUAGAACUGCAGAGAAGCAUUUGUGCUCUUUAAAACUCUGUAAUCCUUAGACCUCAAGCUAGAAAAGGCCAAGCUGAUUUUAAAAUUCUCCAUGGCUGCAGAGAUAAUGGGAUUUAAAGAGUUUCCAAAUUUAAAGGGGUUAAAAUCAUUCAAAUCCUAUAAUCACUGAACCUCUGAAUCUUUGUAGCCAGUUGGUGCUAUAGAAGAGAAUGGAGGUAUAUUGACAAGUAGAAAGUACACACUGUGCCAGCACUGUUGCAAGCAAGGAUUUGUAUCAUGGAGGGAAGUCAAAAUGAAAUGAGCCUCACAAAAUGUAUGAAGUGUACAGAAGUGAUUAAUAAAAUUGCUUUCACUCUUUGUUUCUAUGGAGAGGGAUGAGUGUGAGGUUAAUAUUCAUAAAUACAAAGUCCAAGCCUAUUGGAGGUUGUUGGUGACAAAGGUACAAAUCAUUAGUGUGUCUACAUUACUGGGACGAGUUUGGGGUCAGAUCCCUUUGAAAGGUCAGUUUGUAAAGAUGCCAGAUAGGAGAGUUACCCACAGAAUGCUGCUCCUAUCCCAAGAGUUAUUCUUAGCAUCCGAGAAAGGAUGUUGAAAACUGACUUGGCCCAUCCCCUUUCAUAGGCAAUAUCCAACCAGAGUUAUUGCAUUGAGUUAAUUUGAUCCUUUGAAAAUUGUUUCUCUAUUUGCAGUUAUAUUCACAGACUUUUUAUUAGAACUUUAUCGUUAAAAAAUGGGGGGCACUAUUAAUAACAGACAAAUUCUUAGGAACCUUGCCUGAUGUUUAUCCUUUAAGUGGUUUGAAAUUAAUUUUUUCAAAAGUAUCCAUUGCUUGAAUUUGUUCAGUAUCUUAAUACAGUGAUUACCUAUGGAAACAUUUACCUCUUAGAAAAUGGUUUGUCUCACUCUCAUCUUUUGUUACUUUUGUUUCUGGCUGUCAUUCAGUAUUCUUUAACUCUACCGGAUCAUGUGAAUCAUUUCACAAGUGCCUGACAUGGCCCAAAAAAAAAAAAAAAAAGGGUUCCCGUCGUGGCACAGCGGAAACGAAUCCCACUAGAAACCUUGAGGUUGUGGAUUCGAUCCCUGGCCUCACUCAGUGGGUUAAGGAUCCGGCAUUGCUGUGAGCUGUGGUGCAGGUCACAGACUUGGCUCAGAUCUGGCAUUGCUGCGGCUCUGGCGUAGGCUGGCUGCAACAUCUCCGAUUAGACCCCUAGCUUGGGAACCUCCAUGUGCUGAGGGUGCAGCCCUAAAAGGACAAAAAACAAACAAAAAAAACAAAACAAAAAAACAAGUGCCUGACAUGGGGAGAAAAUGAAACAUGGGACUGAAGCAUCUCCUGAAUUACUCUCAUGAGGGAAAACCAAAUAUCAAAGAGCCUUUCAUUUGUUUAAAUAUUAAUGGAUUGGAUUUUGGAGUGUUAAGGGGAAAACUGACCUAGGGCUGUAGUUCCUAGGGCUAUUAGUCAUAUGAACCAGGCUAUUUUUGAAAUUCUUUUGGUAUAGUUUUUAAUAUAAUGAUUUUUCUGCAGGAUAUUAAUCAUUAUUUGGAUCCUAUGGAAUUACUUUCUUGGGAGGAAAUAUGACUAUUGGAAAAAAGAAUUUUAGACCAUGGAGACACACAGGCAUGGUUUGAGUGCCAGUUCUCACACUGAUGAAAACAAGAUCAGCUAACAAAGUUAUUAAGAGGGUUAAAUAAGACAAAGGGCAUGAGGUACCCAGCCAUACUCAUGUUCAGUGAAUGAAUUUCUUUUGCUUCCCCUGUACUUACCAGUUAUGACAUGAAAUGUUCAGUGCGAACAACACCGCAAUACCAGUCCAGAGUAUCAGACUUUAAAUUUUAAAGACUCUGUUUUCAAGGCAAUAAACAUAUAAAGGAGUUUCCAAUGUCAUUAGAAAUCAGAGUUUUGCAAAGUAAAACCACAAUGAGAAGGGGGAAAAAAGCACAAGGAGGAAUCACUAUACACAAAACGCUAGAUUGGCAAAAGAAAUCAAGAAUCUGACAAUACCAACUGUUGGUGAAAAUGGGGAACAACUGGAGCCCCUAUACACUAGCUGGGGGAACAAGCACUUUGGAAAAAACAGCUUCCUAUUAUCCAGUAAAGUUGAAGAUCUGUAUGCGCUCUGUCCCAGCAUUUCCAAUCAUCCGCAUACUCACUAGGGAUGCCCAUAAGCGCAUGCAAUGGGAGACAUGGACAGCAUGCAUCCAGCAUUUUUCAUAACAACUAAAACCUGGAAGCAACCCACAGACUAUCAGUAGGAGAAUGGUUAAAAUUGUGUUAUAUACUAGAAUACCAUGCAUCAAUGGAAAUGAAGAAAUUGCAGCUAGGUGUGACCACUUGUGUGAAUCUUAAACAUAAUUUUGAGAAAAGAUACAGUAAUAAAAGAAUAUACACAGUGUGUGGUUCAAUUUUUAGACCACAGGAAGAGGCAAAACUAAAUGAUGCUGUUUAGGGACAGUUAGAGGAAAU